GACGAACGCUGGCGGCGUGCUUAACACAUGCAAGUCGAACGGAAAGGCCUGCUUUCCCUUGUGGAUUGCGGGUACUCGAGUGGCGAACGGGUGAGUAACACGUGAGUGAUCUGCCCCCAACUUGGGUAUAAGCCUGGGAAACUGGGUCUAAUUCCCGAUAGGACUGCAGGGUGGUGCCUGUGGUGGAAAACGAUUUUCUAGUGGUUGGGGAUGAGCUCGCGGCCUAUCAGCUUGUUGGUGGGGUAAUGGCCUACCAAGGCGGCGACGGGUAGCCGGCCUGAGGGGGUGGACGGCCACAUUGGGACUGCGAUACGGCCCAGACUCCUACGGGAGGCAGCAGUGGGGAAUAUUGCACGAUGGGCGGAAGCCUGAUGCAGCGACGCCGCGUGGGGGAUGACGGCCUUCGGGUUGUAAACUCCUUUCGACCGCGAGGAAGCCACCUGGUUGGAAGGGUGGUGACGGUAGUGGUAGAAGAAGCACCGGCUAACUACGUG
rnacentral:rRNA from 1 species